rnacentral:rRNA from 1 species
CCUACGGGUGGCAGCAGUGAGGAAUAUUGGUCAAUGGACGAGAGUCUGAACCAGCCAAGUAGCGUGAAGGAUGACUGCCCUAUGGGUUGUAAACUUCUUUUAUAUGGGAAUAAAAUGUUCCACGUGUGGGAUUUUGUAUGUACCAUAUGAAUAAGGAUCGGCUAACUCCGUGCCAGCAGCCGCGGUAAUACGGAGGAUCCGAGCGUUAUCCGGAUUUAUUGGGUUUAAAGGGAGCGUAGGUGGAUUGGUAAGUCAGUUGUGAAAGUUUGCGGCUCAACCGUAAAAUUGCAGUUGAAACUGGCAGGCUUGAGUACAGUAGAGGUGGGCGGAAUUCGUGGUGUAGCGGUGAAAUGCUUAGAUAUUACGAAGAACUCCGAUGGCGAAGGCAGCUCACUGGACUGCAACUGACACUGAGGCUCGAAAGUGUGGGUAUCAAACAGGAUUAGAUACCCUAGUAGUC